GUUGGGUUAUCUUUUAUUUUGGCGCCAUAGUCGGGCCAUGAGUGUUUGGAUGAUGUAUGUUAUUUAUGUACUUGAUUGACGUGGCAAGUGUAAGCCAACUAUGUUGUCCCUUUUCAUUAUCUAUAUUACAUGGGAUGUUUGUGAUGAUUACCCGACUUGCGACAUAUGCCUUCAAUGCGAUUAUGCCUCUAAGUCGUGCCUCGACACGUGGGAGAUAUAGUCGCAUCGAGGGUGUUACAAGUUGGUAAUCAGAGCCUUCCCCGACCUUAGGAGCCCCCACUGAUUGAUCGUUUUUAGCGGCCGAGUUGUGUCUAGAAAAAAAAUGUUUUGAGUCAUUUAGGAAUUAUAUAUCGGAGAGUUUAGGAAUUCUUUUUACUUCCCAGUCUCCUCAUCGCUCUGGUAAGGCAUCUUGACGUAGAGUUUUGACUCUUCUCUUCUCAAAUUUCACUAAAUUUUUUUUAGGAUCACGCGGGUAUCUUUGAAUCGUUCCGAUGGUUUUAUGAUGAGAACAUUGUCUUGGUGCCUCCUGUCAGGGGUUUAGUGGAAGUGUCCCGGGGAGUUGAGCUCUGAGGUGUUGUCAUCAUAAUUUUAUCGUUGCAGUUCUGGAAUACCUGAAUUUAGUACGCCGACAUCGAAAAUCUCUUUUAUGCAGUUCGUUGGUGAGAUAACCUCGACGCCACCCAGUACUGGGGCGGGAGUUCGGGAGUAUCGCCAUAACUUGUAUAAUGGAUGCUUUUCGAAGGUUGAGGUAGAUGGUUUCCAAAGUUUUUCUCGGUUAUGUGUUGAAGGAUGGAUGCAGCUGGAUGUAGGAUUUGCUAGUUUGGGUGAGAUAUUAUGCUUCCCCUGUAUCCCCAACACCUGAUUGCAUAGCCGGAAAGGUUCGGGAGUUUCAUAGGUCGGAAUUCUUGUAGCUCUAGCUCUUCUUCCACGGAUAUUGGUUUGAGAUUGGGAUUUCUUACCGAUUAUUCGUUCUUGAUCCGUACCUUGUUGAUUAACUUCUUCUACCUAAUUCUACGUGGCUUCGCAAUUUAUGGAUAUGUGACCAUUUCAAGAGGAAUGCAUUCAUUCAUUUUGUUCGAAUGUGAAGACUUUAUGUUGCAAUUUUCAUUCUGUUGGUUUAGCUUCAUUUAUCUGUCUAUGUGCUAAAGGUGGUCAACCUCUUCAGGAUGGCUCCCGCUAAGAGCACCAGUCAGAACCAAAAUCAAGAUCCGCCACCACCUCCACCUCCUCCGGAGGCAUGGCAAGCUGUGAUGGCCGCAACCAAUGCAAACACGCAGUUGAUCAUGCAAAUCCUCCAAGAGUGCAAUCAAGGCAAUCAAGGGAAUCAAGGCAACAAUCAGAACCACUUUACUACACUGAACCAGUUCCUUGCUAAUGGGCCGAAGACGUUCAACAAUUGUGUUGAGGCAACCAAUGCUGAUGAUUGGCUCGUGGAUCUGUGUAAGCAUUUUGAAUGCAGCAACGUCAGGCCUGAAGAUUUCGUCAAGUUCGCUUCCUUCCAGCUCAAAGAUCAAGCUGCAGAAUGGUUCCAGUAGUACAAGGAUUCCAGAGGUGGACGUCUGAUCACUUGGGAUGAUUUUCGUCGAGAUUUCCGAGCUCAUCACAUCCCUCAGAGUGUGACUGAAAGUAAGCGUGAGGAAUUCCGCAACUUGGCUCUUUGUCUGUCUAUGACUACAACAAGUUGUUCCAGAAGCUCGCCCGCUUUGCCAAGCAGGACGUACCUGAUGAGAAGAGCAUGAUAUACCAGUUCAAGGGUGGUCUCAGAGAAGAAAUUCAGCUCGCUCUUGUUCUCUUUGAGCCGUUGAGGUACGAUGAGUUCUACAACAUGGCACUGAAGCAAGAAGCCGCUAAGUUGAGGUGUGAUGCUUCCAAGAAGCGAGUCAGAGACACUACGCCUUCUUCCUCUACUCAAGUGGCCAAGCAGCAGAAGUAUUGGCUUCCUCCUCCUCCGUUCCGUCAGCCGUAUCAGCAGAAGAGCAAAGGUGGCAGUGGUUCUUCCCACCCACCCAACCCUGGCUUUCAGAACAAGACUUCGUCUCAAGCUCCAAGAUCGAGUGCUCCGUACCACCGUCCGCUCUCAGAGGUCACGUGCAACAAAUGCCAACAGAAGGGUCACUAUGCCAACAAGUGUUUCAACCAGAGGCGUCUUCCUCCUCCUCCUCCUCCUGUGAGAUCGGCAAGUACAGCUGUGGUCAAGCAUAACCCCAAGCAUGCCAAGGUCAACUUGCUGAAUGCAGCUCAGGCAGAGGACUCGCCAGAUGUGAUUAUGGGUAACCUUCCUGUUAACGAUGUUCCUGCAAAAGUUCUUUUUGACACUGGUGCAUCGCUUUCUCUUAUUUCAACUCCAUUUGUGGCCAAGCAUGAUUUUGUGACCGAAAGGAUUCCUGUUCCGUUGAAGAUUGUGUCUCCGGGCAAGCAAAUGACUUCUAAUAAUUGCAUCCCGGAUGUCUCUAUCACAUUGGGCGAUUACAAGUUUCUCUCUUCUCCGGUGGUUUUUGGUAACUCGGAUAUUGAUCUUAUUCUCGGGAUGGAUUGGCUCUCUAAGCACAAAGCUCAGCUUGAUUGUGCUGCCAGGCAGAUUCAAUUGACUCAUUCGUCUGAGGAUGUAAUUGUCUUUGCCGCUCGUGAUGAUACAAUCCGGUUGUUUUCUCUCAAUGAGAAGGGUGAAUUGGAUGCUAUCUCGCAGAUUCUAGUCGUUUGCGAAUAUCAAGACGUCUUUCCAGAAGAGCUUCCAGGAAUGCCUCCGCACCGGCCCGUUGAAUUCGUUAUUGAUCUUGAGCCCGGUACGGAACCUGUGUGCAAACGUCCUCACAAGCUCGGACCUGAAGAGUUGAAGGAGCUGAAGAAACAACUCGAUGAGCAAGAAAGAAUGGGUCUCAUCCGGCCUAGUUCUUCUCCGUGGGGUUGUGGUGUUCUUUUUGUGAAGAAGAAGGAUGGAACGGACCGACUUUGUGUUGAUUACCGUCCAUUGAACAAGAAGACCAUCAAGAACAAAUACCCACUUCCCAACAUCAAUGAGCUAUUCGAACAACUCAAGGGUGCCCAAGUAUUCUCCAAGCUUGAUCUUCGUAUGGGUUAUCAUCAGAUUCGAAUUCGUGAGCAAGAUAUUCCCCAGACGGCUUUCAGGACAAGCUUUGGUUCAUAUGAAUACACUGUCAUGUCUUUUGGCCUCGUCAACGCUCCUCCGACGUUUUCUGGCAUGAUGAACUUCAUCUUCAACGCCUACACCAAUGAUUUCAUGUUGGUCUAUCUCGACGACAUUCUGGUUUUCUCGAAGAACAAGGAAGAUCAUGCCAAGCACUUGCGUUUGGUUCUUGAUAAGCUGAGGGAACACCAGUUCUACGCCAAGUUCUGCAAGUGUGAAUUUUGGCUCGAUGAGGUUCUUUAUCUUGGUCAUAUCAUCUCUGCCAAGGGCAUUGCCAUGAAUCCUGAGAAGGUGUCUGCAAUUGUUAAUUGGGAACCUCCUCAGAACGUGAAGCAACUCCGUAGCUUCCUCGGUCUCGCAAGCUACUGCCGAAGAUUCGUUGAAAACUUUUCUAAGAUCGCGAAGCCUCUCUCUAAUCUUCUCCAGAAGCACGUCAAGUACGUUUGGUCUCCGGAGUGUGACAUUGCUUUCAACACUUUGAAAGAGAAAUUGAUCACUGCUCCAGUUCUGACUCCGCCUGAUGAAUCCAAGCCGUACGAGGUCUUUUGUGAUGCCUCUCUCCAAGGUCUCGGUGCAGUAUUGAUGCAAGAGAAGAAAGUUGUUGCUUAUACCUCUCGCCAGUUGAAGCCUGAUGAGAAGAACUACCCCACUCAUGAUCUCGAGUUGGCGGCAGUUGUGCAUGCUCUUUUGACUUGGAGACAUCUUCUAUUGGGAAGAAAAGUGGACAUUUUCACUGAUCACAAGAGUCUCAAGUACAUCUUCACUCAGCCUAAUCUCAACCUUAGGCAAACUCGAUGGGUCGAAAUGAUUCAAGAGUAUAAUCCGAGUAUUGAGUAUACUCCAGGCAAGGCCAAUGUGAUUGCUGACGCAUUGAGCAGAAAAGCAUAUUGCAACAGUCUGAUUCUCAAGCCUUAUCAACCCGAGCUUUGUGAAGCUUUCCGCAAACUUAAUCUGCAAGUUGUUCCUCAAGGUUUCCUUGCCAACCUUCAAGUCUCUCCUACCUUGGAAGACCAGAUUCGCCAAGCCCAGCAUCUUGAUGCUAUGGUGAAAAAGGUGAAGAUUGGGAUUGACAAGAGUCAAUCCAAGUACAAGUGCUACCGCCUUGAUGACAAGGACACUCUCUUCUUCGAGGAUCGAAUUUUUGUACCCAAAGGUGACCUAUGCAAAGUGAUCAUGAAUGAGGCUCACAAUUCUCUCCUCUCCAUCCACCCUGGGAGCACGAAGAUGUAUCAGGAUCUUAAGCAGGCUUAUUGGUGGACUCGAAUGAAGCGCGAGAUUGCUCAAUUCGUGAAUGAAUGUGAUGUCUGCAGAAGAGUGAAGGCAGAACACCAAAGGCCAGCAGGUCUCCUCCAACCUCUUGCCAUUCCAGAAUGUAAGUUUGACCACAUUGAAAUGGACUUCGUGACUGGGUUUCCAAAGUCCAAGCGUGGCAAUGAUGCUAUAUUCGUUGUCAUUGACAAACUCACCAAAGUGGCUCAUUUUCUGCCUAUCAAAGGGUCAAUCACUGCAGCUCAAUUGGCGGAACUCUACACCUCUCGAAUUGUCUCUCUGCACGGUAUUCCUCAAGUGAUAUCUUCAGACCGUGGCAACAUAUUUACCUCCAAGUUUUGGGAUUCUUUUUAGAAGACCAUGGGCACCAACAUCCGCUUCAGCACUGCUUUCCAUCCCCAAACAAGCGGUCAAGUUGAGCGUGUCAACCAGAUUCUUGAAGAUAUGCUCAGGGCUUGUGUGAUCUCCUUCGGCAUGAAGUGGGAGGAUUGUCUUCCUUAUGCUGAAUUCUCAUACAACAACAGUUUUCAAGCAAGUUCAGGCAAGGCCCCAUUUGAAAUUCUGUAUGGGAGGAAGUGCCGUACCCCUCUCAACUGGUCUGAAACCGGUGAACGUCAGCUGCUGGGUAAUGACUUAAUCACAGAGGCAGAAGAAAUGUGCAAAGUCAUUCGUGAUAACCUCAAAGAAGCCCAAUCCCACCAGAAGAGCUACUAUGAUAGUAAGCACCGUGAUUUGGCUUUCGAGAUCGGAGAUCAUGUUUACCUCCGCGUCUCUCCUAUGAAAGGGACUCCUCGCUUCGGUAUCAAAGGGAAGCUUGCCCCUAGAUACAUGGGACCUUUCAAGAUUGUCAGCAAGAGAGGCGACCUCGCCUAUCAACUCGAGCUUCCUUCAAACUUUGCAAAUGUUCAUGAUGUGUUCCAUGUCUGUCAGCUCCGAAAGUGCUUCAAGACGCCUGACCACACCGUCAACUUCAAGGACAUUGAGCUCCAAGAAGAUCUCUCCUAUCGUGAGCACCCCAUGGCUAUCCUUGAAGAGACUGAACGCAAGACUCGCAACAAGUCGAUCAAAUUUCUCAAAGUCAAGUGGUCACACCAUUCCGACCGUGAAGCUACCUGGGAACGCGAGGAUCACCUCCGUUCUAAGUACCCGGCGUUCUUUCAGUCCUAGAUCUUGGGACGAGAUCUUUUCGUAGUGGUGGAGUGUUGUAACACCCCGGAUAUGAUUUUCCCAAUAUGUAAUCCAACUCUUGCCGUUUCCGGCUUUAAGUUAUUUAUUUUCUCGGGUUCGGGUUUUUUUCUCUCCAUGUGUUGUUAUCGUUGUCAUGCAUCUCAUAUCAUGUCAUCAUGUGCAUUGCAUUUGCAUAUGUGUUCAUCUCAUGCAUUCGAGCAUUUUCCCCGUUGUCUGUUUUGCAUUCCGGCGCUUCGUUCUCCUUCGGUGGUCAUUUAUAGCUUUCUUUCAUGUGUGGGGAUUAAACAUUUCCGGAUUGGACCGAGACUUGUCAUGCGGCCUUGGUUUACUACCGGUAGACCGCCUGUCAAGUUUCGUAUCAUUUGGACUUCGUUUGAUCCUCCAACGGUUAACUGAGGGACCGAAAAGGCCUCGUGUGUGUUGCAGCCCAACACCCCUCCAUUUUGGCCCAAAACCCACUAAACUCUGCUCCAUCACCUAGAGCGUUCGAUCACGAUCGUGUGGCCGAAAACCGCACCUCAUUUGGACUCUCCUAGCUCCCUCUAUGCCUAUAUAAACACCCCUCAUUUUUCGGAUGUCCUUCCUCCCCCGAAAACCCUAAAAAUCAUCUCCGCGCACCGGACACGUCCGUGCGCGCGCCGGACACUGCCGCCGUCCUCUCCCGCGCUGCCACAUGGCAGGCGCCACCUCCCGCCGCCGCCGGCCCGCUCGGGCCCGAGGCCGGCCCCCGUGGCCCNNNNNNNNNNNNNNNNNNNNNNNNNNNNNNNNNNNNNNNNNNNNNNNNNNNNNNNNNNNNNNNNNNNNNNNNNNNNNNNNNNNNNNNNNNNNNNNNNNNNNNNNNNNNNNNNNNNNNNNNNNNNNNNNNNNNNNNNNNNNNNNNNNNNNNNNNNNNNNNNNNNNNNNNNNNNNNNNNNNNNNNNNNNNNNNNNNNNNNNNNNNNNNNNNNNNNNNNNNNNNNNNNNNNNNNNNNNNNNNNNNNNNNNNNNNNNNNNNNNNNNNNNNNNNNNNNNNNNNNNNNNNNNNNNNNNNNNNNNNNNNNNNNNNNNNNNNNNNNNNNNNNNNNNNNNNNNNNNNNNNNNNNNNNNNNNNNNNNNNNNNNNNNNNNNNNNNNNNNNCGCCGCUCGCGCCAACCGCGCCGGCGACCGCGCCCCGGCGCGCUUCCACGGCGCCGCCCCGGAUCCGGGCGACCCGGCCCCUCUCCGGCGACCUCCGCCUCUGCCCCGACGAACUCCGGCGGUGAGCAGUAACCCCGGCCAACCUCGGUUCCCGCGAGAUCCCGAUCUGGAUCUGAAAAUAUCUCCCCGAGGGUUGACCUUUUCCCUCCGAACCCUAAUGUUUGUGCAUACUUUGACCUGCUAUAUCUCCGCAUCCGUAGCUCCGUUUUGGGCAUAUAGCAUAUCAAAAUGUUCGCCUCAGAGAGUACAUCAUUUCAUUCCAUUGCAUCAUUUUCAUUAGAGUUCAUCUUGAUGCCCGAAAUGCUGUUAGAAGAGGGCUUCGUGAGUUAAUUGUCAGAUCUGCUAGUUCAUCUUAGACUUUUGUCAUUUUUUCCAUGAUUAUUGUGUGCAUGAUAUGCCUAUGCGUUCUUCAUAUGUUUUGUUAAGGGAUUUGUCAUCUUUCCAGAGGUGCAACCCAUGUAUUUUUGUGAUGUGUGUGGUGCUUAGUGCAAGCUUGCAAAGUGAGGCACCCGGUAAAUCUGUUUUCAGGGACUUAGUAGUUUUCACUAAGUCCUGGGAUUGUUUAGUUCAUGAUGCCAUAUGUUCAUGUUGCUUCCUAGUGAUCCGUGCCUCUUUUGAGGAUGAUCAGUAAAGGAGUUUUGUUAAUGUUGUAGUUCUCUAUCCAUCCAUGUCUUUGUUUGCAUAUUUGGCGCACCCUAGCUUGAGUCAAUUGAGCUCUACUUUUGCUUCGUUGUGAAUCUGGGCAGAUCGUCAACUUGUUUGCGAUUUUGCCGAUGUUAUUGUAGUUGAUCCGUGCAUGCUAUGUCAUUGUUCUUGCCAUGUCUAGCUUGCAUUUUGUGCCUUCAUAAUGGAUGUAUGCUUGUCUUGCCAUGAAUUGCUCUAUAGUGAGUGCUUCGAGCUCGUUAACAUGCCUUCGUGAGUUAUGUUUCAGCAUGUCCCAGUUUUCACUAAGUCUGAAAACUGGUUUUGUUUUUGCUAUGUUCGUGUGCUUGCUAGCAUAUUUUGUGAUCCCUUUUGGCUCAAGGUCACUAAGGGACUUUUGUUAAGCUUGUUGAGUAGCUCCAUGCCAUGUCUUUCUUUGUCAUAUUCAGGUCCUGUAGCAUGUUGUUUUGUUGCUCCGAAGAGGGCUUUAUGAUCUGAAAUUCCAGACAAGUGUUAAUUUCACUAAGUCUGAGAUCUGUUUACCGUUUGCGUUUUUGCCAUGCUUGUUUGAAUCUCUUAAUGGAUAAAUUGGCCGUAGCUCGGUGCUAGACUUUUGUUAAGCAUAUUGAAUGCUUCCCUGCCAUGUAUUUUGAUGCCAUGUUUGAGUGCUGUAGCAUGUUCAUCUCAUUGCAUUUAGAUGCCUACUUGCUGUAAAUCGCAGACCGGUGCCAAUUUUGAACCGCUUGCCAUUUCCAAACCGUAACUCCGAUUCCGGCGUUCUUUAUAUCAUUUUCAAGCGAUUUCAUCUCAUCUUUCCAGGGGCACACUUGAUUUUCCAAGUUGAGUCCAGGUUCAUGCAUUUCCUGUCAUAUCUUGCAUAUGCAUCCCGCAUUGCAUCCCGCAUAGCAUACCAUCAUUGCAUCUUAUUAUUUGAGCUUGCUCGUGGUUGAUUGUAUCCUUGUUGCUUGUUUGUCUUGUUUGGGUAGAGCCGAGAGACGAGUUCGCUAACGAGGAGCCCGUUGAGUUUGCUUGCGAGGAUCCAGUCAACUCUGACAACUUUGCAGGCAAGAUGAUCAUACCCUCGAAAUCACUACUAUCUUUGCUAUGCUAGUUUGCUCGCUCUUUUGCUAUGCCAAUGCUACAAUGCCUACCACUUGCUUGUCAGCCUCCCAAAUUGCCAUGUUCAGCCUCUAACCCACAAUUGUCCUAGCAAACCGUUGAUUGGCUAUGUUACUGCUUGCUCAGCCCCUCUUAUAGCGUUGCUAGUUGCAGGUGAUGAUUGGAGACCGUUCCUUGUUGGAACAUUUAUUUACUUGUUGGGAUAUCAUUAUAUUGCUAUGUUAUCUUAAUGCAUCUAUACACUUGGUAAAGGGUGGAAGGCUCGGCCUCUCGUCUAGUGUUUUGUUCCACUCUUGCCGCCCUAGUUUCCGUCAUAUCGGUGUUAUGUUCCCGGAUUUUUGCGUUCCUUAUGCGGUUGGGUUAUAAUGGGAACCCCUUGAUAGUUUGCCUUGAUUAAAGCUUUUCCAGCAAUGCCCAACCUUGGUUUUACCAUUUGCCACCUAGCCUUUUUCCCUUGGGUUUCCGGAGCCCGAGGGUCAUCUUAUUUUAACCCCCCCGGGCCAGUGCUCCUCUGAGUGUUGGUCCAAACAGAGCCACUUGCAGCGCCACCUCGGGGCAACUCGAGGGUUGGUUUUAGUUGUACGUAAUGUUCAUCUGAGUGUGCCUUGAGAACGAGAUAUGUGCAGCUCCUAUCGGGAUUUGUCGGCACAUUCGGGCGGUUUUGUUGGUCUUGUUUUAACCUGUCGAAAUGUCUUGUUGUACCGGGAUACCGAGUCUGAUCGGAAUGUCUCGGGUGGAGGUCUAUUCCUUCGUUGACCGUGAGAGCUUGUCAUGGGCUAAGUUGGGACUCCCCUACAGGGAUUGAACUUUUGAAAGCCGUGCCCGCGGUUAAGGGAAGAUGGGAAUUUGUUAAUGUCCGGUUGUAGAUAACUUGAACCUUAAUUUAAUUAAAAUGAAUCAACCGAGUGUGUUCCCGUGAUGGCCUCUUCUCGGCGGAGUCCGGGAAGUGGACACGGUGUUGGAGUAAUGUUUGCGCAGGUUGCUCUCUAGUUUCUCGCUCGCGCUUUGCCUCCUCUUCUCGCUCUCUUUUGCGAAUAAGGUAGCCACCAUAUAUGCUAGUCGCUUGCUGCAGCUCCACAUAUAUUUACCUUACCCUUCCUAUUAAGCUUAAAUAGUCUUGAUCGUGAGGGUGCGAGAUUGCUGAGUCCCUGUGGCUCACAGAUUACUAUUACACCAGAUGCAGGACCAGAUGAUACAGCUCCAGAUGGCGCGCUUGUGCUCAGGUGGGAGUACGACGAGGAUUCUCAGCGUUACUAUGUUUCUUUUCCUGAUGAUCAGUAGUGGUACCCAGUUGGGGUGAUCGGGACCAUGUCGCUUGUUGGGUUAUCUUUUAUUUUGGCGCCGUAGUCGGGCCAUGAGUGUUUGGAUGAUGUAUGUUAUUUAUGUACUUGAUUGACGUUGCGAGUGUAAGCCAACUAUGUUGUCCCUUUUCAUUAUCUAUAUUACAUGGGAUGUUUGUGAUGAUUACCCAACUUGCGACAUGUGCCUUCAAUGCGAUUAUGCCUCUAAGUCGUGCCUCGACACAUGGGAGAUAUAGUCGCAUCGAGGGUGUUACAUAUAUAAUGGACAAUAACCCAUAGCCAAGUGAGGGUCAUGUAGAAGAAAUGCACGAAGUCUGCGGGUGAAGAGAGCGGUGGGAAAGACACUCCAUGGGAUCCCAAGUCAUCAUUGCUCUCUAGAGCUCGUUUUGUCAACUCGUGGGAUUGCGAGGUUGACAAGAAUUCGUGGGUACCUACACAAAAGAGACACAAACGAAAGAGAUUGUGUGUGUGGUAAAUGUACACAUCAUCCAUCAUGAUGUGUAUGUGCAUGUGAGAGUUAGCACAAGAUAAUCAUCGCUCAAAGAAAUUUGAUGCAUGGUAUAAGAACAUGUCAUCCAUCAUGAAAGAAUAGUUAUUGUGUAUAACACGAUGGGGAAACAAAUUGAGAAUGCAAUUAUAUGUCACAUCAAUAGCAUGUUUAUUCAUGGGAAGCAUAUGGUGCACACAAGUAUUGGGAUCAUGCAAUGAAUGGGAUGAAUCAAAAUCUCCUAAAAUGUAUGAGGAAACUAUGGGGGUCUCCUCAUGAGAAAUAUGGGAAACAUCAUAUGGAGAAAAUGGACAACAUCCAAAACAAUGCAUAUCCGAAGCUAGGUGGUCAUGGCAUGGCAUAUGAGAUAAAUUAUGCAAAGGGAGCAUAUCAAUAUCAUCACAAGAAAAACAAAUGCCAAUAACCAUGGGCUUGUCAUCUAUGCCAUAUGUGCAAAUUGGGUUCAUUUUAAUGGCCAAUGCAUAGUCACUACGAUGAGAUUGCAAAUAUGACAUAUGAGGGAUCUCAUGCAUAGCAUAUGACAAGUCAAGCGGAUUGUCAAACAUGAUGUGACCUAAAGAACGAUCACAAGAAAUCCUAUGUAACAUGGCAUCACAACUAAUAGACUCCACAUGGCAAUCAUCAUACUCAUCAUAAAUGGUUAAAUCAUCGCAUGGUGAAGUCGCACUAGCAUGAAGCAUGGUAAUAGGUUGAUCAACAUGAUCAAUGUCAAGAAUGUCCACUAGUGGGACUAGAGCAUCACCUUCACCUAUGUUACCUUGUUCAUUCCACUCUAGUGGUGUAGGUGAGGUGGGUAAGACCAAAUGGUGUUCAAGAUCAUCAUCUUUAUGGAACCAUGUGGGGGGUGCAUCAUAUUUCACCAUGGCCAUCGUCUUGUCCAAAGGUAGGAUGAAGUCAUCGAGAAUUGGAGCGUCAUCAUAUAUGGGACCUAGCACCAAAUGAGAAGACACAAUAGAGGUAGAGGUCAAGUCUUUAGAGUUAAAAGUGGCCUCGCAUGACCUAUCAACUAUCUCACUCUCUCUAUGUGGUGGUUCACUCACUCCCUCAAGGUAGGUGCACUCAAUCUCACGUAUGGUGGAGUCACUCAUCUCACUCAAGUGGUGGGGGUUGUGGCUCUCCUCACAUGGGAAUUGUGGCAACACAUCAUAUAUCGGGCUAGUGGUGAAGUCACUCUCACUCUCAAUAUGGUGUCUAAAGUCACUCAAGUCAUCAUAUGGCGCCGUGGUCGAAGGGAAAAUCCCAUGCUCAACCAUCUCAUUGUCAUCACCAUGGAUGAAGGCCGAAGAUGGCACAUCAUCACUCUCGCCUCCUAAGAUGGAAGCAUCAUCCUUGCUCGACACCAUGUCGCUCGCCUCCAAAGCUUGGUCCUUGAUGGUCUCCGUAAGCGUAGUCGUCGCCGCACCAUCUUGAAAAAGAGUCGAAGAAGACUUAGCAUCAUCAAUGCAACAAAGAGGGAUGGCGAUGAAGUCGAACUUGGGAGCAUCGUCUUGGAGCUCGUCGGGCUUGGACAUCAUGGUGGUACUAGCCUCAUGCUCGUUCUCAUGGAGCUUGGUCGUCGCGAAGUGAGCUUGGGGUGGAUAAGCUUUGGCCUUCAUGAGUUCUUGUUCCGCCUUGAGAGCACCAAUGUAGUUGUCGUCGAGGGACUUGUAGUUCUCGAGGAAGAUCAUCUUGGAGAUGUCGUUGUGCAAUCCCAUCAUGAAGUGGAACUUCAUCGAAAUGGGGUCGUCCACGCCGACUCGUCGCAAGGCAAUCUUCAUCUCCGUGAAGUACUCGUCGAUGGACUUGGAUCCUUGGAUGGUGUUCUCCAAUUGGUGUUGAAGUUGUUCCGUGUAGGUUGGAGGCACAAACUCUCGCCGCAAAGCUCUCUUCGUCUUGGGCCAACUCAUGUCGUAGGUCUCCGAAGGUGUGUGAAGCCACCAUGUGGACGCGUAGUCGUGGAAGUUCCUUGUGGCGCACUUCACUUGAUCUUCGGGAGGGACUUGAUGUAGCUUGAGGUAGUCGUCCAUCAAACGCUCCCACUCGAGAUACUCCUCGGGUUCUUGAGUCCCAUAGAAAUGAAUCGCGUGGUCGAUGUCGAGGUCGUAGUAGCUCGUGGAAGUCGCGGACUUGAGAUUGGGGAGCUUCUCUUGAGGUGCUUGUGGGCAAAGAUGCCGUGUGUCCAUAGGUGAAGAUGACUUGAAGUCGCUUGGCGAAGAUGCCAAGGGAUAUGGUGAAGUCGUUGAGCGGUUGUUGGAGUUGAGCUCUUGACCUUCACGUCCUUGUUGGUGAUGGUGUCGAUGCCGAUUUAAUUUUGCUGGAGAUGGUAGCUUGGAGACAUGUGUUCUUGAGCGUCUUCUCGAAGAUGAGGAAGAGCACUUGUAGGACUUGAUGAGGGCUUUGAUCUCCUCCAUUUGAGUUUGCAUCUUGGCGUCGUUGGAGUUGUUCGUGGCAUCGGACUCGUCGUUGUUGUUGUAGACCGAAGAUGAAAUGCCUUGCCUAUCCAUCACUCCAAGAGAAAAAUGUGAGUGGUAGAAAGAGAAGAACAAAUACCAAAUGUACCUUGACCGAAGUUGAAAGUGGAUCAAUGAUCACUCUAAUGUGGACAAGGAAAUAGCACAAUUGGUACCAAUUCUUGUUGGUUUCUCACACCUACACAAAUUAGGCUUAUGGUGGAGCUUGGUAAGGAUAGUGGCACAACAAAUUGAUGUAAAAUGUUAGCAAGAGUCAAUAAUGUUGAAAGAUAUUCACAAAUUCACAAGUGUAACAAUUAGACCAAUAGCAAUGAAUGGCAUACGGAAACACACACACGGAUAGAUAAAUGGGGUCGUGCAACCAAGGAGGAGCACAAAAUGAGGAAUCCACAGAAAACGCUCAUGUUGCACAACUCAAGAGAGACGCUAGCACGAUUGCUCUAUAGGCGGAUACGACACUUGUGCACAACCUAUAAGAUGCAAAAUGUAUGAACUUUCUAUCCCAAGUAUGUAUGUAUGGCUCCCGGUGUUAUGAUCCAAGAUGAUCUUAUAUGCAAUGUGGUAUGAUGCUAUGGCACUUGCUUACAAGCUUCUUUGCUCUUUCUCUUUUGCUUAAAAGCUUAUUCUUUUUUUUUUGUAUGGCCACUUUGUGAAAUGCACAAACCAAGGUAGCAAUUGUAUAUAUGCGGGAACAAACUUGAGGCACACGAGAUGAUAUGAUACCAAUAUGAUAUGGUAUGUAUGCAAUGUAUGGUAUAGAUCACUAAUGUGCACAAGUAACAUUGCCGGCAAUACUCAAAUGGCUAGUCUCGAUAGGCAAGGGACGCAAAAUGGGCUAGGGGUUAUCAAUGCAAUGGCAAGGGAAUAUACAAUGGAGGGAUACCACGAUACCAAGUUGAUAUGGAGGUUACCGUCUGUGUCGAUGAUGAGUGGCGGUGAUCUUGAUGGAGAUACUAAGAUGAUGGAGACUCGUCCCUAAGUAGCCGAAACACCUUAGGAAAUGGAAAAACUGCGAACUCAAAAUCUAAAACGUCAAAUGCCAAAUGGUGGUAGCGGGAAAGCGGUGGUGGUUGCGGAAGCUCAAUGGGAUUGCAAAAAUGCAAUGAUGGGUUUUGAGACGCGAUGUGGAAAUGGAGGGUAAGGUGGUUGACUAUACACGGUGUCAGAGUUGGAAGCACGGUCCCUAAGUAGCCAAAACACCUUACGAGACAUGAUACGUCUCCAACGUAUCUAUAAUUUUUGAUUGUUCCAUGCUAUAUUAUAUUCUGUUUUGGACAUUAUUGGGCUUUAUUAUACACUUCUAUAUUAUUCUUGGGGCUAACCUAUUAACCGGAGGCCCAACCCAGAAUUGCUGUUUUUUUGCCUAUUUUAGGGUUUCGCAGAAAAAGAAUAUCAAACGGAGUCCAAACGGAGUGAAACCUUCGGGAACGUGAUUUUCGGAACGAACAUGAUCCAGAGGACUUGGACCCUACGUCAAGACAUCAACCAGGAGGCCACGAGGUAGGGGGUGUGCCUACCCCCUGGGCGCGCCCUCCACCCUCGUGGGCCCCCUGUUGCUCCACCGACAUACUCCUUCCUCCUACAUGUACCUACGUACCCCCAAACUACUAGAUACGGAGCGAAAACCCUAAUUCCACCGCCGUAACUUUCUGUAUCCACGACAUCCCAUCUUGGGGCAUGUUCCGGAGCUCCACCAGAGGGGGCAUCGAUCACGGAGGGCUUCUACAUCAACACCAUAGCCCUUCCGAUGAAGUGUGAGUAGUUUACCUC
rnacentral:lncRNA from 1 species